ACCUUGGGCAAAGUUCAGAGAACUCUUACCUCUGCUGAUGACAAAAGGCCUCUCGCUCAGAGUAAAAGGCAGACUGUAUGACGCAUGUGUACGAACAGCCAUGCUACAUGGCAGUGAAACAUGGGCCGUGACUGCUGAGGAUAUGCGUAAGCUUGCAAGAAAUGA